UACGUAGGUGACAAGCGUUAUCCGGAAUUAUUGGGCGUAAAGCGCCCGCAGGCGGCUGUUCAAGUCUGACGUGAAAUCGCUCGGCUUAACUGGGCGGGGUCGUUGGAAACUGAAUAGCUUGAGGCAAGGAGAGGGGCGUGGAAUUCCCGGUGUAGUGGUGGAAUGCGUAGAUAGUCGGGAGGAACACCAGUGGCGAAGGCGGCUCGCUGGGCCGGAACUGACGCUGAGGAGCGAAAGCGUGGGGAGCGAACAGG
rnacentral:rRNA from 1 species